rnacentral:rRNA from 1 species
GACGAACGCUGGCGGCGUGCCUAACACAUGCAAGUCGUGCGAGAAAGUUCCUUCGGGAGCGAGUAAAGCGGCGCACGGGUGAGUAACACGUAGGUAACCUGCCCCCCCAGUCUGGAACAACUAGAGGAAACUCUAGCUAAUGCCGGAUGAGACCACGAUCCCUUCGGGGGUUGCGGCCAAAGAUGGCCUCUACUUGUAAGCUAUCGCUGAGGGAUGGGCCUGCGGGCAUUAGCUUGUGUGAGGUAACGGCUCACCAAGGCUGUGAUGGCUAGCUGGUCUGAGAGGAUGACCAGCCACACUGGGACUGAGA